rnacentral:lncRNA from 10 species
GUGGCAGUUUCCUUUCAGUAUGGGGAGGACAUCUUUCACAUGGGAAUUUCGUCUCCUGCUUUUGAGAAAGAAAAUGAAGAUCAGAGGGAUCUUCUAGCACCUCUUGCUUUUCAGCGCUCUUCACAGUGCCUCUCCGAAAUGAAGAGCUUCUCUUGGGGCAGAAACCAACACGCUGCUCCCUUCUAGGAGAAAGUCUCACUCUGGGAGAAAUGUUCACUGAGCCUCAAGAGACAGGGUCUCACUAUGUUGCCCAAGUUGCUUCAAGCCAUCCUCCCGCCUCAGCCUCACAAAGUGCCGGGAUUACCAGUGUGAACCACCGUGCCCAGCCCCUGCGAUAUUUUGAUACAAGCAUACAAUGUGUGACGAUCAAAUCGGGAUAUUUAGGACCUCCAUCACUUCAGACAUGUAUCAUUUCUUUGUGUUGGGAACAUUUCAACUCUUCUAGUUAUUUUGAAAUAUACAGUAAAUUACUGUUAACUAUAGUCACCCUACUGUGUUAUUAUUGAACAUUAGAACUCAUUCCUUCCAUCGAAUUGGAUUUCUGUGCCCAUUAAUUAAACUCCCUUCAUCUCCCACCCUCAUUCCCAGCCUCCUCUCUACCCCCAUGAGACCCACUUUCGCAGCUCCCACAUGGAAGUGAGAACAUGCAGUAUUUGUCUCUCUCUGCCUGGUUUAUUUCACUUAAUGUCCUCUGGUUCUAUCCAUGUUGCUGCAAAGGAUAGGAUUUCAUUCUUUUUGUGGCUGAAUAUUAUUCCACUGCAUGUAUAUACCACAUUUUCUUUAUCCUUCAUUUGCUGAUGCACACUUAGGUUUGAUCCAUAUGUUGGCCUUUGUGAAUCUGCUGUAAUAAACAUGGGAGUGA